GAAGGAGAAGUCGUAACAAGGUUUCCGUAGGUGAACCUGCGGAAGGAUCAUUGAACACACAAUGCAGCAAACCAGCGAACUGUUGUUGUCCCCCGAGGGGCCUCACCCGGAGGUGGGGCCGUCGACGGCGUGGUUCGGCCCGAGAGGCUGGCCCGUGGGCGUAGCGGAUUCCUCGCUGUCGGCUGGAGUGUCCCAUUGUCGUGGUCUCGGCCGUCUUGUGCUGGCGCCCCUUGGUGGGAGUUAGCGUCUGGCGGUCGGGGUCGGGCAUUCCCCUCCCCCUUUUGCCCCGUCUUUGGGGUACCUGGGGCCGUUUUUUCCCAUAAGCACCCUGAGGAACAUGAGUUUGAAGACUGAGCUUGGGGUCCUUUGUGUCGCCUUUGCCGGCGAUGCAAGAGCCCGAGUCGAAAACCAAAAUAACGACUCUCAGCAACGGAUAUCUUGGCUCUUGCAACGAUGAAGAACGCAGCGAAAUGCGAUACCUAGUGUGAAUUGCAGAAUUCCGCGAAUCAUCGAGUCUUUGAACGCAAGUUGCGCCCGAGGCUUGUCCCGAGGGCAUGCCUGCCUGAGCGUCACCGCACUCCCACCUGGAUGCUCUCCAGCGUGGAAUUGGCCGUCCGGGACCCUGCUUAAGGCUUUUGGGUCGUGGUGGGCUGAAAUUUAGCUAUCUGGGCGUGGCCAAAGAGGGGGGCCGCGAGAAGGUGAUUCGCUCUUUGCGGAGCGGA
rnacentral:rRNA from 1 species